rnacentral:rRNA from 1 species
UUGGANUGGGGGCACCCUGAUCCAGCAAUGCCGCGUGAGUGAAGAAGGCCUUCGGGUUGUAAAGCUCUUUUGUCAGGGAAGAAACGGUUCUCUCUAAUACAGGGGGCUAAUGACGGUACCUGAAGAAUAAGCACCGGCUAACUACGUGCCAGCAGCCGCGGUAAUACGUAGGGUGCGAGCGUUAAUCGGAAUUACUGGGCGUAAAGCGUGCGCAGGCGGUUGUGUAAGACAGGUGUGAAAUCCCCGGGCUUAACCUGGGAAUGGCAUUUGUGACUGCACGGCUAGAGUGUGUCAGAGGGGGGUAGAAUUCCACGUGUAGCAGUGAAAUGCGUAGAUAUGUGGAGGAAUACCGAUGGCGAAGGCAGCCCCCUGGGAUAACACUGACGCUCAUGCACGAAAGCGUGGGGAGCAAACAGGAUUAGAUACCCUGGUAGUCCACGCCCUAAACGAUGUCAACUAGUUGUCGGGUCUUAAUUGACUUGGUAACGCAGCUAACGCGUGAAGUUGACCGCCUGGGGAGUACGGUCGCAAGAUUAAAACUCAAAAAAAUUGACGGA